rnacentral:rRNA from 1 species
UCCAGACUCCUACGGGAGGCAGCAGUGGGGGAUAUUGCACAAUGGGGGAAACCCUGAUGCAGCAACGCCGCGUGAGUGAAGAAGUAUUUCGGUAUGUAAAGCUCUAUCAGCAGGGAAGAGAAUGACGGUACCUGACUAAGAAGCCCCGGCUAACUACGUGCCAGCAGCCGCGGUAAUACGUAGGGGGCAAGCGUUAUCCGGAUUCACUGGGUGUAAAGGGAGCGUAGACGGCUGUGCAAGUCAGAAGUGAAAGCCCGGGGCUCAACCGCGGGACUGCUUUUGAAACUGUGUAGCUGGAGUGCAGGAGAGGUAAGUGGAAUUCCUAGUGUAGCGGUGAAAUGCGUAGAUAUUAGGAGGAACACCGGUGGCGAAGGCGGCUUACUGGACUGUAACUGACGUUGAGGCUCGAAAGCGUGGGGAGCAAACAGGAUUAGAUACCCCUGUAA